CCUACGGGACGCAGCAGUGGGGGAUAUUGCACAAUGGGGGGAACCCUGAUGCAGCGACGCCGCGUGGGUGAAGAAGCGCCUCGGCGCGUAAAGCCCUGUCAGCAGGGAAGAAAAUGACGGUACCUGAAGAAGAAGCCCCGGCUAACUACGUGCCAGCAGCCGCGGUAAUACGUAGGGGGCAAGCGUUAUCCGGAAUUACUGGGUGUAAAGGGAGCGUAGGCGGCAAGGCAAGUCUGAUGUGAAAACCCAGGGCCCAACCCUGGGACUGCAUUGGAAACUGUAUUGCUUGAGUACCGGAGAGGCAG
rnacentral:rRNA from 1 species